GUACGGGGGGGGCAAGCGUUGUUCGGAAUUACUGGGCGUAAAGGGCUCGUAGGCGGCCAACUAAGUCAUACGUGAAAUCCCUCGGCUUAACCGGGGAACUGCGUCUGAUACUGGAUGGCUUGAGAUUGGGAGAGGGAUGCGGAAUUCCAGGUGUAGCGGUGAAAUGCGUAGAUAUCUGGAGGAACACCAAUGGCGAAAGCAGCUCUCUGGGACGGUACUGACGCUGAGACGCGAAAGCCAGGGGAGAGCAAAGCGGG
rnacentral:rRNA from 1 species